UCCGCGGAAAGGGGAACUCCCAUUCCGCGGAUAAUAUCCGCGGAAAGGAAAAUUUUCCUUCCGCGGUUAUUUAUAGCGGAUCCUUUGAAAACUCAAAUUGGAUCUGAGCCCUUGAAAUCUAAAUCUAAUGGCCCCCGUACAGUGUGUUAGAUAACCCCUUCCCGGCAACCGGUUGGCAAGGAACAGGACCCCAUUCAUUCUGCAAAACAAUGAUCGUGAAUCAUUUAUCUACGGUGAUCAGCCGUUAUUGCGCUUCGUUUGGCGACGCUGAAUAACAAUGGCACCGAUUGAGAUUGAUGGCUUCGGCUUUGGAAGCGGCAUGAGGUCACAGAACUCUCUGAAUCGCAGUUGAACAUUGAGCUCAUCAAGACAGUUGCAGAUUUUAGUUUAAUCAGUAAUCAUUGGGUUAUUGAACUGGAACACGAGUUUAGCAGAGAGUUGAAGAUUUGCUCGAAAUUCAUCAUGUUACCUCCUAUGGACUAGAUUAUCUGAAGAGCUGAUCUUUGAUGCUAUUCAUUUUUUGCUAAAAAUUGAAAAUGAGUUGUAUGUGAUGUUUCGUCCCACUCUUCAGGGCCUGAGUCCGUGUCGAAAAAACUAUAACGGAUUGGAUUAAUGAGGAGCUUCAUGAUGAGUCAUUUAAUCACGUGCUUGAUUCUGUUUCACUGAGGAAAAGGCUUGUGGAUUUGGUUGAUCGUUGACUCAUGUUCUACACAGUUCGGAGCUGAUUACUGCAGCAGUUUAAGCAAGUGAGGCCAGCAGGACAAGAAUUUGGAGUGAUUGACAGAUUGAAAAAUGAGAAAGCAAAUGAUGUGGCUUGGCAAGGCAAAUGCUCUGGCACAAUGUAUGGCUGCUAUUUCCUUUCUUGUUUUCUGAAGUUUGAGCAGCUAUGGUGGAGGCUGGAGGCACGGGUAAAAUGAGUGAGCAGUUCACCAUCAGAUUAUAUAUUAAUCUUAGCAUGGCCAACAUCACCACAACAAUUGCAACGACUUGAAGCUUUUAAUUGAUGUCGUCAGUUCCUUGCUUCAUCGCUCUCUCGGACAUCUUUUAUCGCUCAAGACAAGCAUCAAGUGAGACAGAGAUGUGUUUCAUAAGGUCUUCAGUAGCAAACCACACCGGAUGGCUCCUGAUAUACAGGGUUGUGAUCUGCAUGAAGGUGAAUUUGGAAAAGUUGGUUCCAUUAUCAUUUGGAAAUAUACUGGUGUGCGUUUGGUACAUCUUCACGAUAUUUGGUGCACACGAGUGUCUAUAUUCUUCUGCUAAGCUCUCUGCGUCGCUGUUAUAUUCUAAUGUCCAAAAUAUUUUGGAGUCAGGAGGGGAAUUGAAUAUCAAUAUAGAUUAUGUCUGUAGAAUUUGUUCAGGGUGUUAGAUCUGGUAUGAGCUCUUUUCGAAUUCGUUGGACCUACACUAAUCUUGAUGGUUCAAAUAAGGGAAAGAGUAUUGCUGAGAAAGUUCAGUGCAAUAAGAGAAGGAAACAGGCACGCCAAUAUUUUGUUGUACGGUUUGAGUCUGGAGUGGUUGCAAUGACAGCUGCAUUCCUAGGAAGUAAGAAAAAUGUUCCAGAGGACAAAAUUAUGGUAACAUGAUCUCUGGUGGGAUUGAAAGUAUCUUAAUGGCAUCCACAGACCUUUCAAAUCACUGCAAAAUAAUUUCUUUACUGCCUAACACUGCAACAACAUUUUUGCAAACUAACUACAUGCACUUUCUAGAGGAUUACAAGCUUGCGUCACUUGCAUACCUCCUAAGCUACAACUCUUAAAUAGUGAUACUGACAAGAAGACAAAGGUAACAUUUGAGCCAGAUCCACAGCCGUCGAAGCUGGUUCGAAUGGCAAACUUAUGUGUUGUUUCCGGGCGUGCAAUGAAUGGGAUCGGUUAGAUUCAUAGUGAGAUAGUUAAGAAUGAAGUGUUUAAUGAAUUUUACAAGUUGUGGCCUGAGAAAUUUCAAAACAAGACUAAUGGGGUCACACCAAGAAGAUGGUUACAUUUCUGCAAUCCAGAGUUAAGGAAACUCAUUACCAAGUGGAUAGGAACUGAAGACUGGGUGUUAAAUACAGACAAAUUGGCAGGACUUAGAAAGUUGUUUCUCCGUCUACUCAGAAUGUGGUGCAAGAAAAAGCCUUGGAAACUCCUACCAAGAACUAGAAGUUGAUCAAUUGACUUUCACAUUAAUGAGCCAAAAGUGAAUUACAGGAUCUGCAGACUCUUCACGUCGAGAAAAUGACACAUUCAGAAAGCUCUCCGACUAAGGAUACCAGCCUUGCGGUUACUGCUGGCUACCUUGUAGAUGAUAUAUUCUAAGAACCAAAAAAAACUUGACAGAAUGAUACCAUAAUUCUGUGUUUGAUCCUCAAUAAUUUCUAUGUAAUUUAUGAUAUAUAUUCAAGAAUUUCAAGAACACUUUUCCUCUAAAGAGAGUAAUAGUUUAUCUAAGCUAUGCCUCUAGCAAAUUAUUGGUGUUCUACUUUUUUUUAUGAUAUUGGAAUGUCCAAAAAAUUAUGAUUUUGAA